rnacentral:rRNA from 2 species
AACACGACUCUCGGCAACGGAUAUCUCGGCUCUCGCAUCGAUGAAGAACGUAGCAAAAUGCGAUACCUGGUGUGAAUUGCAGAAUCCCGUGAACCAUCGAGUUUUUGAACGCAAGUUGCGCCCGAGGCCUUCUGGUCGAGGGCACGUCUGCCUGGGCGUCACGC